ensembl:lncRNA
CAAACACCAAGUGAGGUAUGGAAGAUCACAAAGAGUGCCUUCAUGUGUGGCUUGAGAAUUGGUGUCUUUCAAUAAGCUGCUGAAGAUGACUCCGUGGAGCACAAGAAGAAAGCCUUUUUCAUCAUGCUGUGUUUCUCUGUACCCGUUCAGCGGGGCUCUGGAGUUAACCUAGGCAGGAUCUAUGGAUUUACAGAACUGGGGAGCACUUGAAAUGUUUUUGGGGGCAGAGAGACGAGCCCAGCAACCUCUUCUGAGGAUGAUAAAGCUAAGCUGCUUCUGCUGUGGCAGAGAUGAGCAGUAUUUUAACAAGAAUGUGGUCACUGGAGGAGUCAGAACUGGUAGUGAAGCAGGAUACUUGCCUGGAGCUGGAUGGCCUAAAGUAAGAGAUGUGUUUUCUGAUGUCUUAGGGCUUCAGCAGGGAUUCUGGUCACUGAAAUUCUGGAGGCUUUUUUGCAAAUGGAAGAGCUGGUUUGUGCCCAGGACUGAGAAAAUACCACCUCAUUUAGCCAGCGCGGGAAAGCUGGAUGUUCAUCCAAAGCGGACAGAUCUGGGCUGAUGUCCAUGUGUGCUUUGGGUACUCCUGACCCCUGGGGGAGAUAUGGGUCAGAUUUCCC